AUACGUAGGGUGCAAGCGUUAAUCGGAAUUACUGGGCGUAAAGCGUGCGCAGGCGGUUUUGUAAGACAGAGGUGAAAUCCCCGGGCUCAACCUGGGAACUGCCUUUGUGACUGCAAGGCUAGAGUACGGCAGAGGGGGAUGGAAUUCCGCGUGUAGCAGUGAAAUGCGUAGAUAUGCGGAGGAACACCGAUGGCGAAGGCAAUCCCCUGGGCCUGUACUGACGCUCAUGCACGAAAGCGUGGGGAGCAAACAGGAUUAGAUACCCUGGUAGUCCACGCCCUAAACGAUGUCAACUGGUUGUUGGGUCUUCAUUGACUCAGUAACGAAGCUAACGCGUGAAGUUGACCGCCUGGGGAGUGCGGCCGCAAGGUUGAAACUCAAAUGAAUUGACGGGG
rnacentral:rRNA from 1 species